AUGCAGAUUUUAUUUUGGGUUGUCGAUUUGAUUUCAAGUGAAGAAGAUAGAGUUCUGUUUAAUAUAGUCAAUGUGAGAAAUCCAUUAAGUAACUUGGUUUCAAAGGUGAUUAUUGUUUCAUCACCCAAUACCUCUGGCCUGCGAAUGCUCCAAGGAAGAAAGCAAUUAAAGGAUCUUGUGAAGAAGGGAGAAACUAAGAUGUGA